UGGGUGUCGUCAGCUCGUGUCGUGAGAUGUUGGGUUAAGUCCCGCAACGAGCGCAACCCUUGUCCCUAGUUGCUACGCAAGAGCACUCUAGGGAGACUGCCGGUGACAAACCGGAGGAAGGUGGGGAUGACGUCAAGUCCUCAUGGCCCUUAUGGGUAGGGCUUCACACGUGAUACAAUGGUCGGAACAGAGGGUCGCCUAGAAGCGAGAUGGAGCUAAGCCCAGAAAACCGAUCGUAGUCCGGAUCGCACUCUGCAACUCGAGUGCGUGAAGCUGGAAUCGCUAGUAAUCGCGGAUCAGCAUGCCGCGGUGAAUACGUUCCCGGGCC
rnacentral:rRNA from 1 species